AAAGGAAUAUAUGAAAUUUUAAAAAUGCUUUGAUUUUCAUUUUAUAUUUAGAAUAACAAAAAAAUAUAAUCAGUAAGAGACAGAAACGAAAAAAGGUCAGUUUUUUCAUUUUCUGAGGCCGGAAGUGGUCAUCAGCAAGUGUGGAGCCAAACAACAACAAGAUUCUCAGAGGGCGGAGCCAGAGAGCAGUGAUUGGUCAAACCAUAGAUAAUAUAGAAGACAGCGCGCUAUCUAGUCUGCUAUAUAUAUCUAUGGUCGGCACGUCUGGUAGCAUCUCUGGCUGCUGUUGACCUUGUUUUUGGAGUAAAACACGGUGGAAGCUGAAUUAGUGAGGAUGACUCCUGCUCCUGUCAUCUCUAAGCUCCUCACACAUCUUUACCUGCACAUGAGGAAAAUCACUCCUGUAGAAUGCAGAUGUUCAGAGGGAGAUGAUGCCACAUCUGGUCCAGACGAUGGAAGGUCUUGAAGUUCUCUGACUGGCCUCGACUGAAGAUGGUCGUCUCACUGGAUUUAAGGUUCAGAUGCUCAGUAACAAACUCCACCAAUGUGCCAACAGGGAAGCUUUAGGUUUAUUAAAUGUUGCUAUGAAGGUAUCGCUGUUUUUCUUUGUGAAUGCAAUGUGCUCAACAUUCUAAUUUUUAUUUCAGUCUUGGCUGGAAAUAGAAUCUCUGUAUUGAUUCAGGUAAAAACUGAACUUCACAGCAUGUUGAAGCAAAACGACCAGAUGAAAACUGUGAUGGUGUUGGAUUGUCAGACCGUAAUGUUGCAGCUCAAAGCAGCUUUUCUAUCUCAGUUCAUUCUGACAUUCAGCUAUGAAUCAACACAGCAGAUGGUGAUCCAUGCUGUGGAAGUCUCACAUCUCCUGAUUUAAUGGAGCUGCUUUGCACUUUUUACACUGUUUAUUCACCAACACUUUAUUUAAUAAAAGUCCCAUCUAGUUUUUAUGAGGAAUGUGAUGUUUUAAUUUCUCUGUGAAUAACUGCAGUCUAAUGUAACAGCUGGAAUUGUAACAUCUGUCCUGAUAUUGAUCAUGAAGUAUUGAUCAGAAUACUUAUGGUCAGCAGUCAUCCCUGAAGUUUUACAUUAAAAUCUUUACUUGUGUUGUGAACUUUGGUAAGAAGCAGAAACGUUAGCGUUGCCAUGGAUACAUGAGUGUUCAAUUCUGUCCAUGUUUUCAUUUUGGGAAAUGCAGUCCAGCAGAUGAGUUUGUUUUUACUGCCAGGUACCAUUCAGUCUGAGAUAUUAAGAAUAAAUAAAUGUGCAUAAUGUGGAAAUGCACAAAUUUUAUUUUUAUUUAUUCCUACAGCUGCAGAUAAAUUUCCAAAAUGUGGAGGAAUUUAGUCUCAUAGUCACAGACAAUAAAUAUUAUCUGAAAGUUGUGUUAUUAUUGUUUAUCGGCACAAUACAAAAAGAUUCAUGUUAGACAUAUUCCAGUUAAGAC